rnacentral:rRNA from 1 species
GAUGAACGCUGGCGGCAUGCCUAAUACAUGCAAGUCGAACGCUGAAGCACUCCGCUUGCAGAGUGCGGAUGAGUGGCGAACGGGUGAGUAACACGUGGGAAACCUGCCCAUAAGUGGGGGAUAACAUUCGGAAACGGAUGCUAAUACCGCAUACAUUAGGACUCCGCAUGGAGUCCUAAUAAAAGACGGCUUCGGCUGCCGCUUAUGGAUGGUCCCGCGGCGUAUUAGUUAGUUGGUGGGGUAAUGGCCUACCAAGACGAUGAUACGUAGCCGACCUGAGAGGGUGAUCGGCCACAUUGGGACUGAGACACGGCCCAA